rnacentral:rRNA from 1 species
UACAGAGGUCCCGAGCGUUGUUCGGAUUUAUUGGGCGUAAAGAGUGCGUAGGCGGCGGAGUAAGUUGGGUGUGAAAUCCCGAGGCUCAACCUCGGAAUGGCAUUCAAUACUGCUUCGCUCGAGUACUGGAGAGGAGGCUGGAAUUUACGGUGUAGCAGUGAAAUGCGUAGAUAUCGUAAGGAAGGCCGGUGGCGAAAGCGAGCCUCUGGACAGUUACUGACGCUGAUGCACGAAGGCCAGGGGAGCAAACGGG